GGUUGCGGGUUCGGUUCCUGUCCUUGCUCAGUGGGUUAACGAUCCGGCGUUGCCGUGAGCUGUGGUGUAGGUUGCAGACGCGGCUCGGAUCCCGCGUUGCUGUGGCUCUGGCGUAGGCCGGUGGCUACAGCUCCGAUUCGACCCCUAGCCUGGGAACCUCCAUAUGCCGUGGGAGCGGCCCAAGAAAUAGCAACAACAACAACAACAACAAAAAGACAAAAGACAAAAAAAAAAAAAAAGAUACAUAGAUACAUAUUAUUUAUAAGUUUUCUUCAUUUAUCAACCUUGGUUAAAUAAAAAUUACUUAGCUAUUUGGAAGGUUUUUGGAGUCAGGUGAACAUAUUAAAUGCUUAUAAAGGAAAUCAAGUUUUAUCAAUUCAUUAAUGUAGCAAUUUCAAAUAUAAAGGGAACUUAAUGAAGUUAUAAGAACCUCCUGAGGUCCUGCUGUAUAGCACAGGGAACUACAUCCACUCACUUGUCAUGGAACAUUUUCAGAGGGGGCUUUUUUGAGUACCUUAUAAAAAAUAGUGUUCCCCUCUUGCUAGGCAAAUUCCGUCUCUCUUACCCUGCCCUGUGUACUUCUAAAGCUGUCAAGUCUGUAUGAUAUACUCUCCACAUUGUUUCAUAGGCAUUUGUUUACUGUCUUCGUCUCUCCCCACCAGACUAUAACUCCAUGAGGAUGAAAACUUGGUCUGUUCAUUGGAGCAUCCCCAAAACUCACCUGAAACCUGAUAGGGUUCAUUCACAGGUCUCUGGAUCAAGAGAGACUAUAACAAACCUGAUGCAGAAACAAAUCAUCUUCUGACUGGCUUUGAAUUUGCUGCACUGAUUGAUACAGCUUCCCCAUAGGGAGAAGUGAUCUGUUCAGGGAUGGACGCAUGACCCAUUUGGGAUCAAUGAGAGAAAAUGAAUUCUGGAGUUGCUCUCUUUCUCUGAG
rnacentral:lncRNA from 1 species